rnacentral:rRNA from 1 species
GACGAACGCUGGCGGCGCGCCUAAUACAUGCAAGUUGAGCGAUGAAGAUUGGUGCUUGCACCAAUUUGAAGAGCAGCGAACGGGUGAGUAACGCGUGGGGAAUCUGCCUUUGAGCGGGGGACAACAUUUGGAAACGAAUGCUAAUACCGCAUAACAACUUUAAACAUAAGUUUUAAGUUUGAAAGAUGCAAUUGCAUCACUCAAAGAUGAUCCCGCGUUGUAUUAGCUAGUUGGUGAGGUAAAGGCUCACCAAGGCGAUGAUACAUAGCCGACCUGAGAGGGUGAUCGGCCACAUUGGGACUGAGACACGGCCCAAACUCCUACGGGAGGCAGCAGUAGGGAAUCUUCGGCAAUGGACGAAAGUCUGACCGAGCAACGCCGCGUGAGUGAAGAAGGUUUUCGGAUCGUAAAACUCUGUUGGUAGAGAAGAACGCUGGUGAGAGUGGAAAGCUCAUCAAGUGACGGUAACUACCCAGAAAGGGACGGCUAACUACGUG